CGCUCCAUGCUCCAACAAUUCAGCAUCACUGGCUCACUGCGUCUGCGUCUCAGCGUCUACGUCAGGAUCCAGCGUCACUGCGUCUACGACUGUGUCAGGCUCAGCAUCGAUAUCCAGCCCUAUGGAGGAGAACACUCCAUUGCCAGCAAGUUUGGGGUCUCGAUCUCGAAUUCGAACCAAGCAACUCACAAAGAAGCCACCCAUUUCGAUGCAGAAGAUGUCUGCAGCGACAACAUCAUCGGCGUCCGGCAAUCGGUCUAAUGUUUCUAUAUCUGUGGUGAGUAUCCAAAACUUCAAAUGCUAAGCUUUUGUUGUCUUCACAUUCUUUGUUGUAUGCUAGAUUGUAAUGUUGGAUUGAAAUGCAGGAACCAACAACUAAUUCUAGAGAGGAGGAAGACAAGGAGGAGGACAAUAGCCUCGACAUGGAGGAUGAUUUCUCUCUAAGCCUAUCUUCAGAGGAUGGUGGGAGCCAGGGUGAAGAUGAGGUUCAGGUGGCACAAGUUCAUAAUGCAAAGAGAGGAGUCAAAAAGGCAAAGGGUGAUGUUCCAUUAUCUCCUUCAAAGUGUAAGGUCAAGAGGGUGAAGCGAGCCGAUUGCUGGAAGUAUUUUAAGGUGGUCGAAGUUCAAUCAAAGAAGAAGUUUGGGGAAAUGGUGACGAAGGCCAAGUGCAAGUUUUGUUACAAACUGUAUGUGUAUCAACCUGGGGGGUCCAACAUCACAGCUGAAUCGACAUCUGGAUAAGUGCACUGCCUACCAGAACAAGUUGGCCAAUGCAAAAUCAAAGGUUGCUCAAGGUACUAUCAGCUUCGCUCUUGAUGAUGGUUCUCUUGUUGUUAAUCCCAGUGAAUAUGAUCGUGAUCACACUAGAAAUUUGAUUGCUAAGAUGAUUAUUGUUCAUGAGUAUUCACUUCGAAUGGUAGAGCACAGAUGGUUUAAUAUCUUGAUGAAAUGGAUGAAUAACAGCUAUGAAAGUAUUGGUAGAAAGACUAUAAAAAACGAGUGCAUGAAAGUGUAUGAAUCUGAAAAGGACCUUCUAAAGAAAACUCUUAGAAAGGUUGAAUCCAUAAGUUUGACUACCGAUCUGUGGACAUCUAACCAAAAUGUCCAAUACAUGAGUUUGGUUGCACACUACAUAGAUGUAAAUUGGGAAUUGCAAUGUCGUGUACUAAACUUUGUGGAGUUGGAUCCUCCCCACACUGGUGUAGUGAUAGCUCAAGCUAUUUUAGAGUGCCUGGUUGAAUGAAAAAUUGAAGAUAAAGUUAUCACAAUCACACUUGACAAUGCUUCAAAUAAUGAUGUUGCCAUCACCAAUUUGACAUCCAAGCUUCUUGCUAGAAGGAAGAUGUGCUAAUGGUGGAUGCUAGCCUUUUGGUUUUGGUGGCAUGUUGUUGUCUAGUCUAGUUGACUUGCUGUGCACUUUGUACAUGUCCUGCACUCCUGCUAAGCUGCUAGGGCAGUAGACAGUAGUGCACUAGUCAGUAGUGCCAUCCUUUUGGUGGUUAAGUGGUUAGUGGUUAGUUAGUUGUAAAUUCUAGUGGUUAACUGGUUGUAAGUUCUGGUAGGGCUGGAUAUCGAGCCAGCUUGGCUCGGCUCGGCUCGGCUCGUUAAACAACCGAGCCAGAAGAGCAGCUCGGCUCGGCUCGUUAACGAGCUCGAGCUGGCUCGUUUGGCUCACGAGCCACAGCAAAAAAAUCUGCUGCACUCACCCGUCACACACACACACACACAUAUAUAUAUAUAUAUAUAUAUAUAUAUAUAUAUAUAUAUAUAUAUACUGAUGUACACAAAUACAAAAACAAUUUAACACUAGAAAAUAGUUCAAAAGUGACAACACAAAUCACAUUUCAUAAUCAGGAAUUCAGCCUGCAACAUUCAUGAUUCAUCAGUUCACAAAUCACAACAUUCAUCAGUUCAUGGCUUCAAGCAUCACAGUUCACAACAUUAGAAUUUACAACCAACCAGGCAACCACUAACCAUGCUCCAUGCAUCUGUGAUCAGUCCAUGGCUUCAUGCAUCACACGAUCACAACAUUAAUUCAUGGCUUAAUUUACAAAAGUAGCCACCACACCAGAACUUACAAGGUACGUUUUUAGACUUAGUACAUUGUUUUGAGUACUAACAUAUUUUGUCUAAGUACUAGAAACAGGGAGAAAAGAAUUGGAAAAAGACUUGGCUCUGCGCAGCCAAUUCUCAGCUCAGUCUGGCACACCGGACAGUGUCCGGUGGUGCACCGGAUAGUGUCCGGUGCGCCAGGCUGGUCUCGGGAAAAGUUUGGUGGCGUACGGCUAUAAUUCACCGGACUGUCCGGUGGUACACCGGACUGUCCGGUGAGCCAACGGUCGCCAGCGCAACGGUCGGCCGCGCAAUCCGCGAGCGACGCGUGGCCCGCACCAACGGUCGGCAGGGGGCAUCGGACUGUCCGGUGUGCACCGGACAGUGUUUGGUGCGCCAACGGGCCCGAAGCUGCAACGGUCGGGUGAGCCAGAAAAGAAAGGAGAUCGUGCACCAGACAGCUACAAUGAUUGUCCAGUGGUGCACCGGACUGUCCGGUGCACCACCCAACAAAAGGCAAGUUUGGCCUUCCUUGUUGGCCUCCAACGGCUCCUAGCUGCCUUGGGGCUAUGAAAGGGACCCCUAGGCGCAUGGAGGAGCUACACAAGCAUUCACUAAGCAUCCUAAGGCAUCCAGACUCUGUUCUCGCGCAUUCAUUUCGUUGUGUUAGAGAUUUGAGCUCUAUUCGAGUCAAGGACUCCUUAUGUUGUCAUUUGAGCUCAAGUCUUCUCUUGUGUGCGUGGGUGUGCUGCGAUUUGUGUCUUGUGUGUGUUGCUCAUCCCAACCUUACUCUGUGCUUUCAUUGUGAUAUUUGUUGUAAGGGCGAGAGACUCCAAUCUUGUGGAGAUUCCUCGCAAACAGGAAUAAUCAUCUAAAGGAAAAACCGUGGUAUUCAAGUUGAUCAUCGGAUCACUUGAAAGGGGUUGAGUGUAACUCUCGUCCAUUGGUACGCCACAACGUGGAAGUAGGCAAGUGUUACUUGGCCGAACCACGAGAUAAAAAUCGUGUGUCUUGUGUUGAUCUCUCUGUGAUUAUUUGUGUUCACAAGAACUCGCUUCAAGUUAUUUAGCCGUACUAACACUCAUAACUAAGUUUUGUGGCUAUUAGUGUUUGAAUUUUACAAGAUCACCUAUUCACCCCCCCUCUAGGUGCUCUCAUGUCGAGGUCGAGAUGGGCUUGGCAUCCUUCAUUCCAAACUUAUUGAGUAUGUCUUGAAUAUACUUGGUUUGGCUAAUGAAGGUGCCCUCUUGGAGUUGCUUGACUUGAAAUCCUAGGAAAUACUUCAACUCCCCCAUCAUAGACAUCUCGAAUUUUUGAAUCAUGAUCCUACUAAACUCUUCACAAGUAGAUUUGUUAGUAGACCCAAAUAUGAUAUCAUCAACAUAAAUUUGGCAUACAAACAAAUCUUUUGCAAUAGUUUUAGUAAAGAGUGUAGGAUCGGCUUUACCGACUUUGAAUCCAUUAGUGAUAAGGAAAUCUCUUAGGCAUUCAUACCAUGCUCUUGGGGUUUGCUUGAGCCCAUAAAGCGUCUUUGAGAGUUUACAGACAUGGUUAGGGUACUCACUAUCCUCAAAGCCGGGAGGUUGCUCAACAUAGACCUCUUCCUUGAUUGGUCCAUUGAGGAAGGCACUUUUCACGUCCAUUAGAUAGAGCUUAAAGCCAUGGUAAGUAGCAUAGGCAAGUAAUAUGCGAAUUGACUCAAGCCUGGCUACGGGUGCAUAGGUUUCACCGAAAUCCAAACCUUCGACUUGUGAAUAUCCUUUGGCUACAAGUCGGGCUUUGUUCCUUGUCACCACACCAUGCUCGUCUUGCUUGUUGCGGAAUACCCAUUUGGUACCUAAAACAUUUUGAUUAGGACGUGGAACUAAAUGCCAUACCUCAUUCCUCGUGAAGUUGUUGAGCUCCUCUUGCAUGCCAACACCCAAUCUGAAUCUCUUAGUGCAUCCUCCACCAUGUAUGGCUCAAUAGAGGACACAAAAGAGUAAUGUUCACAAAAAUGAGUGACUCGAGAUCGAGUUGUUACCCCCUUAUGAAUGUCACCGAGAAUUGAGUUCAUGGGGUGAACUCUUUGAAUCGCUUGGUGGACUCUUGGGUGUGGCGGUCUUUGACCCUGUAUCUCUUGAUCAUCUUCCAUGUCUUGCUCAACUUCAUCUCCCCCUUGAUCGUUGUCCUCCUCUUGAGGUGGCUCAUCCUCUUGAUCUUCAUUUUCAUCAUUUUGAGCCUGAUCCUCAUCUUGGGUUGGUGGAGAUGUUUGCAUGAAAGAUGAUGGUUGAUCUUGUGCUUGUGUGCACUUCGGAUUCCUUAGGACACACAUCCCCAAUGGACAUGUUCCUUAGCGCGACGCAUGGAGCCUCUUCAUCAUCUAAUUCAUCAAGAUCAACUUGCUCCACUUGGGAGCCAUUAGUCUCAUCAAACACAAUGUCACAAGAAAUCUCAACUAAUUCAGAGGAUUUGUUGAAGACUCUAUAUGCCCUUGUGUUUGAGUCAUAUCCUAGUAAAAAGCCUUCUACAACCUUAGGAGCAAAUUUAGAUUUUCUACCUCUUUUAACAAGAAUAAAACAUUUGCUACCAAAGUCUCUAAAAUAUGAAACAUUGACCUUUUUACCGGUGAGGAGUUCAUAAGAUGUCUUCUUGAGGAUUCGGUGAAGGUAGAGCCGGUUGAUGGAGUAGCAGGCGGUGUUAAUCGCCUCAGCCCAAAACCGGUCCGGAGUCUUGUACUCAUCAAGCAUGGUCCUUGCCAUGUCCAGUAGAGUUCUAUUCUUCCUCUCCACUACACCAUUUUGUUGAGGUGUGUAGGGAGAAGAGAACUCAUGCUUGAUGCCCUCAUCCUCAAGAAAGCCUUCUAUUUGUGAGUUCUUGAACUCUGUCCCAUUGUCCCAUCCUCAAGCAAGCAUUUAAUUCAUGAAUCUUAGUAUAUAAAAUAGCAUUCUCUUUUCUAAGAUUGGAAAUAGAAACAUUGCAAACAUCCAAGUCUUUAGCCUUUGAAAUUAAACUAGCAUUUUCAAGUUUAAGGCUAGAAAUUGAUUCAUUCAAUUUAUCAAUCUUAGCAAUCAAACUAUCAAUUUCAUUUCUAAGAUUGGCAAUUGAAUCAUGGCAAUCAUUUGAUUUUUCAACCUUAGCAAUUAAAUUACAAUUCUCAGUUCUAAGGUUGAAGAUAGUGUCAUGGAAAAUGCUAAGCUCUUUAGUCAAGUUUUCACAUUUCUCUAUCUCCUAAGCAUAAGCAUUUUUCACCUUAACAUGUUUUUUAGUUUCCUUAAUAAGGAAUUCCUCUUGGCUAUCCAAGAGUUCAUCCUUCUCAUGAAUAGCACCUAUUAAUUCAUUUAAUUUUUCUUUUUGUUGCAUGUUAAGGUUGGCAAAAAGACUAAGCAAGUUAUCUUCAUCAUCACUAGAACUACCAUCAUCACUAGAUGUAGUAUACUAGGGGGUGGUUCUAGCUUGUACCUUCUUUUUCUUGUCGUCCUUUGCCAUGAGGCACUUGUGGUCGACAUUGGGGAAGAGAAGUCCCUUGUUGCCGGCGAUGUUGGCGGCGUCCUCGUCGGAGGAGGAGUCGGUGGAGCUCAUGUCCGAGUCCCAUUCCUAACAUAUGUGGGCAUCGCCGCCCUUCUUCUUGUAGUACUUCUUCUUUUCCUUUCUCUUUCCCCUCUUGUCGUCACCCCUGUCACUAUCACUUGACAUAGGACAUUUAGCAAUGAAAUGACUGGGCUUACCACACUUGUAGCACACCGUUUUGGAGCGGGGUUUGUAGUCCUUCCCCCUCCUUUGCUUGAGGAUUUGGUGGAAGCUCUUGAUAAUGAGUGUCAUCUCCUCGUUGUCGAGCUUAGAGGCAUCGAUGGGGAGCCUACUUGAUGUAGACUAUUCUUUCUUCUCCUCCAUCGCUUUGAAUGCGACGGGUUGCACCUCGGGUGUGGAAGUGUCACCUUGCUCCAAGUUGAUGAUUUGUUUGGAGCCUUUGAUCAUCAAUUCAAAGCUCACAAACUUUCCUAUCACUUCCUCCGGAGACAUUAAUUUGUAUCUAGGAUCCCCAUGAAUUAAUUGUACUUGAGUAGGAUUGCGAAAAACAAGGGAUCUUAGAAUAACCUUGACCAUCUCAUGGUCAUCCCAUUUUGUGCUCCCGAGGUUGCGCACUUGGUUGACCAAGGUCUUGAGCCGGUUGUACAUUGCUUGUGGCUCCUCUCCUUGGUUGAGGAUGAAUCGACCAAGUUCCCCCUCGAUCGUCUCCCGCUUGGUGAUCUUGGUCACCUCAUCCCCUUCGUGCGCGGUCUUUAGUACAUCCCAAAUCUCUUUGGCACUUUUUAGCCCUUGCACCUUAUUAUAGUCCUCUCGACAUAGAGAGGCGAGGAGUAUAGUGGUGGCUUGGGAGUCAAAAUGCCGGAUUUGGGCGACCUUGUCCGAAUCAUAUCCUUCAUCCCCUACGGAUGGUACCUGCGUUCCAAACUCAACAAUAUCCCAUAUGCUUGCGUGGAGUGAGGUUAGAUGAUGCCUCAUUUUAUCACUCCACAUACAAUAAUCUUCACCAUAAAAAACCAGUGGUUUGCCUAAUGGGACGGAAAGUAAAGGAGUGUGUUUAGAAAUGCGAGGAUAGCGUAGGGGGAUCUUACUAAACUUCUUGCGCUCAUGGCGCUUAGAAGUAACAGACGGCGCGUCGGAGCCGGAGGUGGAUGGCGACGAAGAAUCGGUCUCGUAGUAGACCACUUUCUCCAUUUUCUUCCUCUUGUCGCCACUCCAAUGCGACUUGACGCGGGGAGGUGAUUUCUCCCUUCCUUUGGCACCGGACUCCCUUGAUGGAGCCUUCCCGUGGCUUGUGGCUGUUUCCAUCUCCCUCUUGGCGUGAUCUCCCGACAUUACUUCGAGUUUUUAAACUCUAAUGAAGUAUCGGGCUCUGAUACCAAUUGAAAGUCGCCUAGAGGGGGGUGGAUAGGCGGAAACUGAAAUUUACAAACUUAAAGCACACUACAAGCCGAGGUUAGCGUUAGAAUAAAAAUCGAGUCCGAGAGAGAGGGGGAAAACAAAUCAACCAAGAAAUAAAGCAGAUGACACGGUGAUUUGUUUUACCGAGGUUCGGUUCCAAAGAACCUAGUCCCCAUUGAGGUGGUCACAAAGACCGGGUCUCUUUCAACCCUUUCCCUCUCUCAAACGGUCACUUAGACCGAGUGAGUUUCUUCCUUGAUUUCUCGGGUCACUUAGACCCCGCAAGGACCACCACACAAUUUGUGUCUCUUGCUUCGCUUACAAGGCUUUGAGAGUAAGAAUGAGAGAAAGAAGAAAGCCAACCAAGCAACAAGAGCAACAAAGAACAUAAGACGAUCUUCUCACAAGUCCUAAAAUACUAGAGUUGAAUUGUGGACUUUGAUUGGAUCGAAGGCUUUGAUUUGUGUCUUGGAGUGUUGUAUUUUGCUCUUGUAUUUAAUGAGGAGUAGUGAAUGCUUGGAUGGUUGGAGUGGAGAUGGUUGGGGGGUAUUUAUAGCCCUCAACCACCAAUUCAACCGUUGGGGCAGGCUGUUGUCGACGGGCGCACCGGACAGUCCGGUGCGCCAGCCACGUCACCCAACCGUUAGGGUUCUGACGGUUUCGACCGUUGGAGCUUUGUCUUCAUGUGGCACCGGACAGUCCGGUGCCGCACCGGACAGCUACUGUUCACUGUCCGGUGCGCCUCUGGCGACUGCUCUGACUUCUGCGCGCACUGUUCUUCACUGUUCACGUUGCAGGCGACCGUUGGAGUCAACCGUUGCGCUGGCUAGCCGUUGCUCCGCUGGCACACCGGACAGUCUGGUGAAUUAUAGCGAAGCGCGGCCUCAGAAACCCGAAGGUGAAGAGUUGGAGUCGAUCGCCCCUGGUGCACCGGACACUAUCCGAUGGUGCACCGGACAUUGUCCGGUGCGCCAGACCAGGGUUCUCUUCGGUUUCUUUUGCUCCUUUCUUUUGAAAUCCUAACUUGAUCUUUUUAUUGGUUUGUUUUGAACCUUUAGCACCUAUAGAAUAUAUGAUCUAGAGCAAACUAGUUAGUCCAAUUAUUUGUGUUGGGCAUUCAACCACCAAAAUCAUUUAUAGGAAAAGGUUAAACCCUAUUUCCCUUUCAAUAACUCAUCCAUAUACGUGGACACGGACUAUUCUAAUAAAUUUUGAACUCUGCACAGAGGUGUGCUCUCUAUCCACUAGUCCGGUUUCUGCAAUUUCAACGUCAUGAGUUUCGAAUACCGAAACUCUCUCCUCCCUUGCACGGCUUUGCCUUAACGGUUAUACCAAAAGGAACAAGGUAACCUCCUCACCCAAACCAGGAUGUAAUUAUUCCCCCACCUUGUCCUUUCGGUGCUCCCUAGCCACCGAUAAGCCAGGGGUGCAGACUGUGCAAGUUCAGAUUAAGCGACUGUCCAUACAGUCCCGAGUGGUUGUACUUGAUAAGAGUUUAGGUAAGGAGUGAUGACAAGCCGGUCCUUAUGCGAGACGGGACAAUCAUUCAUGCUCACACCUAACCCGGCUGAGCCAACUUCUUAGGGCCCUCCCAAACCAGGGAGUCCUGAUCAUCCCGCUCAUGGUGGUGACAGAGAUAAAUGUUCACCCUUUUUUUGAAAACAAGUUUCUUUUAAAAAAACUCACACCUUUUAUCAAAUCAUUUUGUAAUAAAAAUGUCAAGGAGUAUAAAAAAUUUUUGCGACAAAGUUCUAAGGUUGGGUGGCCAUAUUAACAUGUCUCUUAGUAGCAAAAUAAUGUAAUGCAUAAAAUAACAGGCUGAGUGAUGUGUUUGAAAGCAUAGAUAAUUUAUACAUCAAAGAGAUCUAGUGGGUUUGUCGUGCCUUAACUAGCGAAAGGGUGAGAGCUUGUUGUACUAGCUUCUGGCUUCACCGACUGGCAUGGACUUGCGGAACUGGCAUUCAUGGGACAUCACGAACGCUCCGAUAACUAUGCAGCAAGAAUAAGCAAACAUACAAACCAGCAAGUAUAUCAACUAAAAUUCUUUAUAGUGGUCAGGAAUGGUGGUGGAUGGGUGAAUAUAGAUUUGAGUAGAGUUUGUAUUGAUGGAGUAGAGAUGCUUACCCGACAUGCAUUUAGAUCGGCAUCCUCUUCAAUGAAAUCAAUUAAAUAAAGCUUAUCGUCUAAUACACCUUUAAAAGCUAAUGUACCAUCACUUAUUCUAAAGACAGAUACAUCAAUAUUUGUAAAGAAACAAUUACAGCUCAUAUGACAUAAUUGACUUAUAGAAAGCAAAAUGUAACCAAGCGAUUCUACUAAGAAAACAUUAGAUAUUGAAUGCUCAGUAAUGAUGGCUAUUUUACCCAAACCUUUGAGCUUGCCAUGAUUCCCGUCUCCAAAGACAAUCGUAUCUUGGGAAUCCUUGUUUUUGACGUAGGAGGUGAACAUCUUCUUCUCCCCCAUCAUAUGGUUUGUGCAUCCACUGUCAAUAAUCCAACUUGUGCCUCCGGAUGCAUAAACCUGCAAGGUGAUUUAAGCCUGGGAUUUAGGUACCCAACUCUUGUUGGGUCCUACAAGGUUAGUCACAUAAGACUUUGGAACCAAAAUACAAGUUUUGCCUCUCUUGCACUUAGGCCCCACAUUUCUAGCAAUAACUUUUUCAUUUUUACACAUAAGCACAAAUGAAGCAUCAUAAGUAUGAUAAAACAUAGUUGGACCAUUAGAUGCAUUCCUAGGCGCAUGGGAAACAACAUGAUGAGUAUGGCGCCUAGGUCUACUCCUACCAUGAACAUACAAAGAGGUAGAGGAUGCAAACAUGGCAUGUGAAUCAAAGGCAGCAUCAUGACGUACAGGUAAAACAACAUGAUUAUAACAACCAUCAUGAUGAGCAGCAUUAGUGGCAUUCUUAACAUGAGCAUACAAAUAGGCAUGGUUCUUUUUGUCAUGAAAAGAAUGAGAACUACUAGCCAUAGGUGCCUUCCCUUUCUCCUUGAUGAGAUUGGAGGCCCUUUGGCUUAAGUUCUUGGUCCCCUUUUGGAAACCAAGUCCAUCCUUAAUGGAGGGAUGUCUACCAAUGGUGUAGGCAUCCCUUGCAAAUUUUAUUUCAUCACACUCAUUCUUGCAAGUUUUAAGUUGGGCAUUAAGGUUUGCAAUUUCAUCAUUCAACUUAGAGAUAGUGGAAGCAUGAGUAUUGCAAGCAUCAAUAUCAAUUUCUUUACAUCUAUUGCAAAUAGAAACAUGAUCCAUAGAUGAACUAGCAACAUUUACUUUUUCUAGCUUAGCAUUUAAAUUGUUAAGACUAGAAAUAGAAUCACGACAAGACGAUAACUCAGAAGAAAGUAAUUCAUUUUUCUUAAUUUCAACAGCUAGAGAUUUUUCAGCAUUAAUACACUUAUCAUGUUCUUCAUAUAGAAUAUCGUAUUGUUUCUCUAGCAAUCUAUCCUUCUCAUUAAGGGCAUCAAUUACUUCAUUGAUUUUAUCUACUUUAGAUCUAUCUAAACCUUUAAAGAUAUCGCUAUAGUCUACAUCAUCAUCAUAUUCCUCAUCACUAGAAGAAGUGUACUUAGGGGUAUCUCGAGUACGUACCUUCUUCUCCUUAGCCAUGAGGCAUGUGUGAUGCUCGUUGGGGAAGAGGAAGGACUUGUCGAAGGCUGAGGCAGCAAGUCCCUUAUCGUCGGAGUCGGAUGAAGAGCAAUCUGAGUCCCACUCUUUGCCAAUGUGCGCCUCGCUCUUCGUCUUCCUGUAGUUCAUUGAUAAGUACGGGAUUAUCACUACUAUCAAAUGCAUUCCAUUUUCCACUAUCUCCCAAAUACUAGGAUGGGGAGAAAAUAAACAUUUUAUGACUCUAGAAAGAAUAAUCUUCUCCAUCAAAGUGGGGGGGUUUCCAAGUGGAAUAGACAAUAAAUGUGCAUUCGAAUUAUAAGGGAUGUGUGAAUAAUCAAAAGAAUAGUUUUGAUUAAUCGUUUUUUUUCGAUGAAGAGUCUUCGUCGUCGUCAUCCAUUGGUGAAGAAGAAGAGGUGUUGUUGUCGUAGUAGAUGUUCUUCUUGAUGCGCCUCUUCUUUCUAUCCUUCCUUUUGUUGGUUGAGUCUGAGUCGGUGGGCUUGUCACCUUUUGGCUCAUCAAAAUAGAGAGUCUCCUUCUCCUUCUCCUUGUCGUUGAUCACCAUCCCCUUGCCCUUAGGAUCCAUCUCUUCGGGUGGUUAGUCCCUUGAUGAAGAGAACAACUCUAAUAUCAAUUGAGAGCACCUAGAGGGGGUGAAUAUGUGAUCCUGUAAAAAACAGCUCAACAAAACAAACUUGGACUAAUAUUGAAUUAGUGGAAGCAAGAGCCAAGUUCGAAUGAGGAUUAUGAGCGGAGUAAACUUCUUCACUUAAUUGCUCUUCACUAUGUGAGCAUUAAACUUAGAGCAAUAAUGUAAGUGAAGUGGAUAGAGAGAAAAUCGCAGUAGGAUAAGGAUACGUGACACAACGAUUUUUAUCUCGUGGUUCGGUCAAGUAGAAUACUUGCCUACUCCACGUUGUGGCGUCCCAACGGACGAGGGUUGCACUCAACCCCUUUCAAGUGAUCCAAAGGUCAACUUGAAUGCCACGGUUCUGUUUAUCUCAACAAUACCCCAUUGUGAGUUAUCUCCACAAUUUGGAGUCUCUCACGCCUAACACAAAUGAUCUCAAAUAAACACAAGAGUAAGGGGGAAUAGAAACACACACAAGAGCGAGAGUUGCAGCAGCAACACACACACAAGACAAGAAAGAGCACACGAAACAACACAGCGGAGUUACAGCUCAAAGAAGUGCUCAAAUCUAUAUCACAAUGAAACGAAUGCGUGUUUGCGGAUUCUCGGCAUUGUAAGAUGUUUAAUGGGUGCUUGGUGUAAUGCUCCAUAUGCCUAGGGGUCCCUUUUAUAGCCCCAAGGCAGCUAGGAGCCGUUGGCGUCCCAUUUGUAAGGCCCUGGUUGCCUUCUAUCCGUGGACGCAGUCUGGUGCACCACCGGACAAUGAACAGUGUGUGAUUUCCUUCCUUAUUUGGCAAGACGACCAUUGUCAGCCACUGGUCCCACGGCGCAUCGGACAGGCUGGUGUCACACCAGACAGUCCAGUGUUGCAUGUUGACCGUUGGCUGAGCCACGUGUCGCCCGCUGAUCGCGCGGUCGAUCGUUAGCAGGGCGCGUGGCUGGCACAUCGGAUAGUCCGGUGCACAAUCAUGUCUUGUUUCAUCUCGUUUUCAUGUGCUUUUCCUAAAUAUAGGAUCUCCGACAGGGGGAGUAUAUCUUCUUUCAUACAAAAGGGGAGAAUAUUCUUUCAAAGGGGGUGAGCUCUCUUUUAGGGGGAGUAAUCAUUUUAGAGGGCAAGUCUUUGAUUGCUUCCUAUAUGAUUUUAAUGUCUUCCUUUUGGUGUUUGAUUCCAAAGGGGGCGAAGUUUUAGGGACCAAAGCAAAUUCAAAAUAUAUCAAAUAUCAAACACCACCCAAUUUAAAAUUUAAAAACUUGAGCUUACAAGCAGUUUUGGUUCUACAAGUGUUUUUGGUCUAAAAUAGGAAGUAUGUGGAUUAUGGUGUUAGGGGAGGCUUAAGCCCAUAAUGUCACGUUGUGGGGACAUUCAUGCAUCCUAGCAAGUAGAUUGCAUAUUUUUAUCAAAAUAUUUUUUAUAUUUGCUUGCUUUGGUUGUGUUGUCAUCAAUCACAAAAAGGGGGUUGUAAGGAAAAUGGACCUCGACCCAUUUAACUAAAUGAUUUUGGUGGUUGAUGAUCAACAUAAUCUGUUGACUAAUGUGUCUGCUAGUUUUUAUAUUUGUAGUUCAUAGGAUGUUAAAGUGACUUGGACUAAGGCACUGAGGAAGCAACACCUCAAAAGAAGAUAUUAUGAAACCAUAUGUGAAGAUCAAAAAGUAUCAAGCAAAGUCCAAGACAUGAAGAGAGUGUAGCCACUCGCGAACCAUCUGUCCAAGUGCAGCGGAUUGUCCGAUGGCUCACCGGAUAGUCCGGUCCACCCGGUGGACUAUCCGGUGCACCAAGAAAUAGUAGUCCAACACCUAGUUCCUGGUGGCACAGUGGAGGAAAGCCACUGAAUUGUACGGUGCACCACCGGACUGUCCGGUGUGUUGCAGAGAGCAGUAGCUUUUCUGCAAUGGCUAUAUUCGAGUUGGGACCUAUAUAUAUUUCACCCAACCGGCCAUUUGAAGGGGUGGCAGUCCAAGCAACUGCUUGGGAGUCCUUGCAAUUUGAAUAAACCAAGAUCUUACCAUGACUGCAAUUUUAGAGAGACGCGAAAGUACAAGCCUGUGGGGUCGCUUCUGCAACUGGAUAACUAGCACCGAAAACUGUAUUUACAUUGGAUGGUUCGGUGUUUUGAUGAUCCCUACCUUAUUGACCGCAACUUCCGUAUUUAUUAUCGCCUUCCAACACAUGUUAUAGACAUUUCCAAGUGCUCA
rnacentral:lncRNA from 1 species